rnacentral:rRNA from 1 species
GGUUCGAUUCCGGAGAGGCAGCCUGAGAAACGGCUACCACAUCCACGGGAGGCAGCAGGUGCGCAAAUUACCCAAUUCUGACUCAGAGAGGUAGUGACAAGAAAUAACGAUCGGCGGCCUUCGGUUGCCUAUUCGGAAUGAGAACAAUGUAAAAGCCUUAUCGAAUUCCAGCGGAGGGCAAGCCUGGUGCCAGCAGCCGCGGUAAUACCAGCUCCGCUAGCGUAUACUAAAGUUGUUGCUGUUAAAACGCUCGUAGUUGGAUAUCUGCCCCGCCCGGGCCGGACUCGCGACGCACCUGCGCCUGCGGCCGGCCGCCGGGGCAUAAUUCAGGAACGCCGGUCUGGCCAUUCGAUUGGUCGGGCCGCUGGUCCUGAUCCUUUACUUUGAGAAAAUUAAAGUGCUCAAAGCAGGCUCGCGCCUGAAUGCAUUAGCAUGGAAUAAUAAGACACGACUUCGGCGCCGCCACUCGUGGCGGGUGUUUUGUUGGUUUUGAGCUGGAGUAAUGAUUGAUAGAAACAAUUGGGGGUGCUAGUAUCGCCGGGCCAGAGGUAAAAUUCUUUAAUUCCGGUGAGACUAACUUAUGCGAAAGCAUUCACCAAGCGUGUUUUCUUUAAUCAAGAACUAAAGUUGGGGGAUCGAAGACGAUCAGAUACCGUCGUAGUCCCAACCAUAAACGAUGUCGACUAAGCAUUGGGCUACCAAACUUCCUCAGCACUUUAUGAGAAAUCAAAGUUUUCGGACUCAGGGGGAAGUAUGCUCGCAAGAGUGAAACUUAAAGGAAUUGACGGAAGGGCACCACAAGAUGUGGAGCCUGCGGCUUAAUUUGAUUCAACACGGGAAAACUUACCAGGUCCAGACAUAGUAAGGAUUGACAGAUUAAAGUUCUUUCUUGAUUCUAUGCAUGGUGGUGCAUGGCCGUUCUUAGUUCCUAGGGUGACCCCUCUGGUUAAUUCCGAUAACGGACGAGACCCCACCCAUCUAACUAGCCGGCGCUAACCCGGCGCCCAGCGCCCGUUAGCGGGGUGCAGCAUUGCGCGCCCGGCUUCUUAGAGGGACUAUCUGUGUCUCCAGCAGAUGGAAGAUUGGGGCAAUAACAGGUCAGGAUGCCCUUAGAUGCUCUGGGCUGCACGCGCGCUACAAUGAUGCGUUCAACGAGUUUGACCCGGCUUGACAAGGCCGGGUAAUCUUCAACGCGCAUCCAAGUGGGGAUAGAUGAUUGCAAUUGUUCAUCUUGAACAAGGAAUAUCUAGUAAACGCAAGUCAUCAACUUGCAUUGAUUACGUCCCUGCCCUUUGUACACACCGCCCGUCGCUUCUACCGAUUGAAUAAUGAGGUGAAUUAGGUGGAUAAGAGCCGCCUCGGCGCGUUCUUAGAAGCUUUGUGAACCUUGUUAUUUAGAGGAAGGAAAAGUCGUAACAAGGUUUCC